GCGAACGGGUGAGUAACACGUGGGCAAUCUGCCCUGCACUCUGGGACAAGCCCUGGAAACGGGGUCUAAUACCGGAUACGACCUUCCCCUGCAUGGGGGUUGGUGGAAAGCUCCGGCGGUGCAGGAUGAGCCCGCGGCCUAUCAGCUUGUUGGUGGGGUAAUGGCCUACCAAGGCGACGACGGGUAGCCGGCCUGAGAGGGCGACCGGCCACACUGGGACUGAGACACGGCCCAGACUCCUACGGGAGGCAGCAGUGGGGAAUAUUGCACAAUGGGCGAAAGCCUGAUGCAGCGACGCCGCGUGAGGGAUGACGGCCUUCGGGUUGUAAACCUCUUUCAGCAGGGAAGAAGCGCAAGUGACGGUACCUGCAGAAGAAGCACCGGCUAACUACGUGCCAGCAGCCGCGGUAAUACGUAGGGUGCGAGCGUUGUCCGGAAUUAUUGGGCGUAAAGAGCUCGUAGGCGGCCUGUCGCGUCGGAUGUGAAAGCCCGGGGCUUAACCCCGGGUCUGCAUUCGAUACGGGCAGGCUAGAGUGUGGUAGGGGAGAUCGGAAUUCCUGGUGUAGCGGUGAAAUGCGCAGAUAUCAGGAGGAACACCGGUGGCGAAGGCGGAUCUCUGGGCCAUUACUGACGCUGAGGAGCGAAAGCGUGGGGAGCGAACAGGAUUAGAUACCCUGGUAGUCCA
rnacentral:rRNA from 6 species